rnacentral:lncRNA from 1 species
AUCAUUUCAGUGAACGUCGCUCCAGUCUUUGUCGGGGCCACACUCGGGAUGUAAAUUUAGGAUUCUCACUGAAGUGGCGGGACCCUGAGAGGCUUUUUCCUGACCCCUUAGAUGUGGGUUUUCCUGCAGGCGGCGGAGCCCGUUUCCAUCAGAACCGCCCAGAGGCGGGCGCUGCCUUCCUAGGGUGGCGGAGCAGCUGGUAGCCUUUUCGGAUCCUGGAAUCCGUGGGCGGCCCGUGGAAGGGGCUGAGGCGCAUUUCCCUACUCACCUGGCUCCAAAUCCACCGCGGUGCUGUUUCAAGCGAGUCAGAUUCCAGAUCGCGCUCCACCCCGGACUCGGAAUUCCUGCCCCGCAGACCUUACAGUGGUGCCUAAAGUCUGCGAGGAGGAAGUCGCCUGUGUGCUCCGGUGUCCAGAGGCCUAAGCGGCUGCCCUCCCCCCACCCCAGCUAUGAGAUGCUCAAGGAGGAGCAUGAGGUGGCUGUACUGGGGGUGCCCCACCACCCUGCUCCCCCAAUGUCCACCGUGAUCCACAUCUGCAGCGAGACCUCCGUGCCUGACUAUGUUGUCUGGUCCCUGUUCAACACCCUCUUCAUGAACCCCUGCUGCCUGGGCUUCAUAGCAUUCGCUUACUCUGUGAAGUCUAGGGAGAAGAAGAUGGUUGGCGACCUGACCAGGGCCCAGUCCUAUGCCUCCACCGCCAAGUGCCUGAACAUCUGAGCCCUGAUUCUGUGCAUCAUCAUGACCAUUCUGCUCAUUAUCAUCAUCCUAUGACCGCUUAGAGUUGUAAGCCUUCAAGGGCUGGAGUUUCUUUCGGGAGUCGGCUCUUAAGACACGAGUCUGCCAACGCUUCCGGCUGAAUAAGAAACCUCUUCCUUCUUUAAUCCGGUGUCUGAGGAGUUUUGUCUGCGACUCUUCGUGCUACAUUUCUUGGUUCCCUGACCAGGAAGAGAGGUGAUCGAGUGUGGAUCAAGGACUGGAACGUAGCCUCUUUGUGUCCACGGUGGAAAGGACCCCAGACUGUCAUCCUGACCACUCCCACUGCUGUGAAGGUAGAGGGAAUCGCAUCCUGGAUCCACCACAGCCAUGUAAAACCUGCAACGCCUGAAACCUGGGAGGCAAGACCAAGCCCAGACAACCCUUGCAGAGUGACCCUGAAGAAGACGACAAGCCCUGCUCCAGUCACACCCAGAAGCUGACUGGUCCACGCACGGCCGAAGCAUGAGGAAGCUCAUCGUGGGAUUCAUUUUUCUUAAAUUUUGGACUUAUACAGUAAGGGCUUCAACUGACCUUACUCAAACUGGGGACUGUUCCUAGUGUAUUCAUCAGGUCACCGAGGUAGGACAGCAAAUUAAAACAAUGUUUCUGUUCUAUAGUUAUUAUGAAUGUAUGGGAACAUUAAAAGAAACUUGUUUGUAUAAUGCCACUCAGUACAAGGAAUGUAGCCCGGGAACUGACCAACCUGAUGUAUGUUAUAACCCAUCUGAGCCCCCUGCAACCACCGUUUUUGAAAUAAGAAUAAGAACUGGCCUUUUCCUAGGUGAUACAAGUAAAAUAAUAGCUAGAACAGAAGAAAAAGGAAUCCCCAAACAAAUAAAUUUAAGAUUUGAUGCUUGUGCAGCCAUUAAGAGUAAAAAGCUAGGAAGAGGAUGUGGUUCUCUUAACUGGGAAAGGAGCUACAGAGUAGAAAAUAAUAUAUUUGUCAUGAGUCAGGGGUUUGUGAAAAUUGUGCCUGUUGGCCAUGUGUUAUUUGGGCUACUUGAAAAAAGAACAAAAAAGACCCGGUUUAUCUUCAGAAGG